AUGCCUAGGAAAUUGCCCUGAUGUGGGGGAUAACCAUUGGAAACGAUGGCUAAUACCGCAUAAUGCCUACGGGCCAAAGAGGGGGACCUUCGGGCCUCUCGCGUCAGGAUAUGCCUAGGUGGGAUUAGCUAGUUGGCGAGGUAAUGGCUCACCAAGGGGACGAUCCCUAGCUGGUCUGAGAGGAUGAUCAGCCACACUGGAACUGACACACGGUCCAGACUCCUACGGGAGGUAGCAGUGGGGAAUAUUGCACAAUGGGCGCAAGCCUGAUGCAGCCAUGCCGCGUGUGUGAAGAAGGCCUUCGGGUUGUAAAGCACUUUCAGUCGUGAGGAAGGUAGUGUAGUUAAUAGCUGCAUUAUUUGACGUUAGCGACAGAAGAAGCACCGGCUAACUCCGUGCCAGCAGCCGCGGUAAUACGGAGGGUGCGAGCGUUAAUCGGAAUUACU
rnacentral:rRNA from 1 species